rnacentral:rRNA from 1 species
CCCUACUGCUAUCGGGGUGGGACUAAGACAUGCGAGUUGUGCGUCUCUAAGCCAUGGUAGAGACGCAGCGUACGGCUCAGUAACACGUGGCUAACCUACCCUUAGGACGGGGACAACCCCGGGAAACUGGGGCUAAUACCCGAUAGGUGAGGAGGCCUGGAAUGGUUCCUAGUCGAAAAGGCGUUGAAACCAUGCUUUUCGACGUCGCCUAAGGAUGGGGCCGCGCCCGAUCAGGUUGUUGGUGGGGUAACGGCUCACCAAACCUAUAACCGGUACGGGCCGUGAGAGCGGGAGCCCGGAGAUGGGCACUGAGACGAGGGCCCAGGCCCUACGGGGCGCAGCAGUCGCGAAAACUCCGCAAUGCGCGAAAGCGUGACGGGGCUAUCCCGAGUGCCGUCCGCUGAGGAUGGCUUUUCCCCGGUGUAAUGAGCCGGGGGAAUAAGGAGAGGGCAAGUCUGGUGUCAGCCGCCGCGGUAAUACCAGCUCUCCGAGUGGUAGGGAUGAUUAUUGGGCUUAAAGCGUCCGUAGCCGGCUUAGCAAGUCUCCUGUUAAAUUCAGCGACCUAAUCGUUGAGCCGCGGGAGAUACUACUAGGCUAGGAGGCGGGAGAGGCCGACGGUAUUCUCGGGGUAGGGGUGAAAUCCUAUAAUCCCGGGAGGACCACCAGUGGCGAAGGCUGUCGGCUAGAACGCGCUCGACGGUGAGGGACGAAAGCUGGGGGAGCAAACCGGAUUAGAUACCCGGGUAGUCCCAGCUGUAAACGAUGCGGGCUAGGUGUUGGGGUGGCUACGAGCCACUUCAGUGCCGCAGGGAAGCCGUUAAGCCCGCCGCCUGGGGAGUACGGCCGCAAGGCUGAAACUUAAAGGAAUUGGCGGGGGAGCACCACAAGGCGUGAAGCUUGCGGUUC